UUCCUACGGGGGGCAGCAGUGGGGAAUAUUGCACAAUGGGGGAAACCCUGAUGCAGCGACGCCGCGUGAGUGAAGAAGUAUUUCGGUAUGUAAAGCUCUAUCAGCAGGGAAGAAAAAAGACGGUACCUGACUAAGAAGCCCCGGCCAACUACGUGCCAGCAGCCGCGGUAAUACGUAGGGGGCAAGCGUUAUCCGGAUUCACUGGGUGUAAAGGGAGCGUAGACGGCGAGACAAGUCUGGAGUGAAAGGCCGGGGCCCAACCCCGGGACUGCUCUGGAAACUGCCUGGCUGGAGUACAGGAGAGG
rnacentral:rRNA from 1 species